GAUUAUACUAUCGGUUAACUGAUGGCCCCAAGUCAAAGAAAAUGAGCCAAAUGGGGUCAGAGUAGUAAAGAUUUGUAAGUAAUGUAACCAAAUCUCAGUGACCCAGAUUUCUGUAUGUUAUUCUACAAAUUUGGUAUCGAUUUUAGACUUCAUUUUGUAGUUUUAGGUUUUUUGUUUGUUUUUAUUAUCAAAAUCUCUGCAUAUUAUCAUAGUGAUUUUUUGCUCGUCCUGAAAUUUGCGGGAUAGUAUACAAUAG